AUUGAACGCUGGCGGCAGGCCUAACACAUGCAAGUCGAGCGAGCGGCGGACGGGUGAGUAAUGUCUGGGGAACUGCCCGAUAGAGGGGGAUAACUACUGGAAACGGUAGCUAAUACCGCAUACUAUCGGAUGAACCCAUAUGGGAUUAGCUUGUAGGUGAGGUAACGGCUCACCUAGGCGACGAUCCCUAGCUGGUCUGAGAGGAUGAUCAGCCACACUGGAACUGAGACACGGCCCAGACUCCGACGGGAGGCAGCAGUGGGGAAUAUUGCACAAUGGGCGCAAGCCUGAUGCAGCCAUGCCGCGUGUAUGAAGAAGGCCUUCGGGUUGUAAAGUACUUUCAGUGGGGAGGCGUUACCGACAGAAGAAGCACCGGCUAACUCCGUGCCAGCAGCCGCGGUAAUAC
rnacentral:rRNA from 1 species